rnacentral:lncRNA from 1 species
AAUUCAUUUCCUGUCAUUUUUACUGCUCCUCUGAGCCAGCACACUUGCCGCACUGCUCGAAGUUUCCAGACGCAGAGAAGAGGAUUUCCAAAGAAGAGAAGAAUUUCCUCACCCUCUCAUGUCAUCAUUUACUGCUGCCGAUUUUCCGAGAAUCAUGUUUUUCCUGUUACAAUGUGUAAACGCUCAUAAAAGGACACCGCCUUGUUUGAAAGCUGAGAGCAGCUGUUCGGAGGACAUGUGAUAGGAGCCNAAAGGACACCGCCUUGUUUGAAAGCCGAGAGCAGCUGUUCGGAGGACAUGUGAUAUCGGGAGCUUCUCAAACAAUCCCACACCCUUGUCACCAAGCUGGUGUUGGGAGGAGCUGCUUUUGAUGCUGGACAAUUUCUCCUUCUAAAGGGCAACUAUGUCCACCACGGUCUCUUCCCCCAUUGAUUUUCUCCUCUUGUGACUUUGGAAUCCAAAGUUCAAGGCUGGCCUUGGGAGGCAGAGUGCGGGUGGAGAGAGGUGGAAACAGAAGAAGCAAACAGAAGAAACACCCCAGGAGAGUGAGGGUGACCAGCUUCCUGGACUGGAAGGUACUGGAGAAGCUGAUCCUACAAGACCAGUUGUAUCAUUGGUCAACUGCUGGGCUAGCAACUUGAGGUUCCCGUUAAAGUUGGGUGUGGAGCUGUGAGGCCAGCCAGGACGUCCUGGGGACGGCCGGGAGCGUGGCACAUCCCCAGGCAGGGCCACUGAGGCUUUUGAGUCAUCCUUUUCUCCAGGUCACCAGGUCACGGAGGGCACAGGUGGAGGAGCGCCCCAGCCUGU